CGAUUUUCGCUACUUCUAAGGCGUUCUCCUUCCACCUCUGUUAGAUCUACGACGUUUCCUCCUUCUAUUAAUUCGUUGUUAGUUGUUCGAUUUUGACACCAUAGGUAUUUUUCUAAUCUUCAUAUUACUUGGUUUCUCUUCCGACGUUCGCUAUUGUUCAUUUUUGGUUUCUCUUCUGACUUCGAAGAACUUAAUUGGAGUUCUAGAUAUAUACGGAUUCGAGAGUUUCAAGACAAACAGCUUCGAGCAAUUUUGUAUCAAUUUGACAAAUGAGAAGUUACAGCAGCAUUUCAACCAGCAUGUCUUCAAAAUGGAGCAAGAGGAAUAUACAAAGGAAGAAAUUGAUUGGAGUUAUAUAGAGUUCGUUGAUAAUCAAGAUGUUCUCGAUCUUAUUGAGAAGAAACCUGGCGGCGUUAUUGCUCUUCUGGACGAGGCCUGG